rnacentral:rRNA from 1 species
UACGGAGGAGGCAAGCGUUAUCCGGAAUUAUUGGGCGUAAAGCGUCCGUAGGUGGCACUUCAAGUCUGCGGUCAAAGACCGGGGCUUAACCCUGGAAAGGCCGUGGAAACUGAAAAGCUAGAGUGCAGUAGGGGUAGAGGGAAUUCCCGGUGUAGCGGUGAAAUGCGUAGAGCUCGGGAAGAACAUCGGUGGCGAAAGCGCUCUGCUGGACUGCAACUGACACUCAGGGACGAAAGCUAGGGGAGCGAAUGGG